GACGAACGCUGGCGGCGUGCUUAACACAUGCAAGUCGAACGGUAAGGCCCCUUCGGGGGUACACGAGUGGCGAACGGGUGAGUAACACGUUAGCAACCUGCCCUUGACACUGGAAUAACAGUUGGAAACAGCUGCUAAUGCCGGAUAUGACCUCCGGUGACAUCACCUGGAGGCGGAAAGUGCUUAGCGGUCAAGGAUGGGCUCGCGGCCUAUGAGCUAGUUGGUGAGGUAGCGGCUCACCAAGGCUUCGACGGGUAGCCGGCCUGAGAGGGCGACCGGCCACACUGGGACUGAGAUACGGCCCAGACUCCUACGGGAGGCAGCAGUGGGGAAUAUUGCACAAUGGGCGCAAGCCUGAUGCAGCAACGCCGCGUGCGGGAUGACGGCCUUCGGGUUGUAAACCGCUUUCAGUUCCGACGAAGCGCAAGUGACGGUAGGAACAGAAGAAGGACCGGCCAACUACGUGCCAGCAGCCGCGGUAAAAC
rnacentral:rRNA from 1 species